rnacentral:lncRNA from 1 species
AAGAAAGUAAAUUACGAUCCAAGAACAUCUAUUAAAGAUCGAAUGCCUGUGCCCGGCUCUUGGUACCGUGCCAGCGCAGGCACCGAGACCUUAGUCCCCUCCUUGACCACGUUUGUUUCCUGGCCAUCCAUUGAAGAGGCUUUCUUAGCCACAAGCUUCUCCUGAGAUGGGGCAUUUGGAACGCUGGUGAUCAUUGUUUGGAGUACUGUGCACUUCCACUUUACUCACCACUGAAGCCUCAGCUUAUUUCCCUACGAUGGCUGAUAAACACCCUUGGAGAAGCACAAGAGCAUGUCUGUCAUUCACGUAGCCCAUCCUCUGCAUUGGGACAUUUAAAUACUUUUCAUUUUAGUCUGUUAUAAAUCAUUUUAAUUUUGCUAUUGCAGUUAGUUGCACUUGUAUGUAGUAGAUGAAUGUCCUUGGGCCUGUAGCUUUUGGUAGCUGCAUUCACACCAGCCCCUGAAAGCGGAGGGCACAGGCUCACACUUCCUGCUCUGCCUCACACAGCCCCGGUGCCGUCUAAAACACAGGUUCAUUGCGCAAGCUGUGAUGACUCCAUCCAGCCAUGAUUAGGUGUGUUAUUUCAUUGAAAAAUUGUUUAAAGAAAAGGUUUUAAAACACUAUCUACUAUCUUGGGGUUUUUUCCAAAGCCAGAAUACCCAGAAUAUCAUUUAUAUUUGAGUUUCAUUUUUCUCUACUGGUGUGAGACCAUAGGAGGAUCUUGUUAGCAUUAUCAAGAAUGUAAUCUUGGGACAUUGGUUUGAGUCAUCUCUGUAACAUCAGGAGGAUAC